rnacentral:tmRNA from 4 species
GGGGGUGACUAGCUUCGACAGGAUGGUCGCUCUCUGACGGUCGCAGGCCCUGGUUGGCCGAAUCCAGGUAAAAAUUCGUCCAAAAACAUAAAAGCCAAUACACAACUGGCCUGGGCCACCGCCUAACCCGCGGUAGGUUCACAUCGACCCUCCAACGCCCGCUAAGAGGGACCCGAUGUCAACUAGCGGACUGGGCGAUUCUUCGCGCGCUUCGUCGAAGGAACGCCGAGACUUAACGGAGCUGGGCACGGGAUACUGGUUCGGCGGUUUUCCCGCGUCGAGACUUAAGCCGAACUAAGCCUGUAGUGGCCUCAGGGACGUUAUUCUGGACGCGGGUGCGAAUCCCGCCACCUCCACCA